rnacentral:rRNA from 1 species
CAGACGGCCCCGUGAAACGGGCCGCCCCCGCCAGAGGACCCCCUAACUCUGUUGCUAUAUGUAUCUUCUGAGUAAACAAGCAAAUAAAUUAAAACUUUCAACAACGGAUCUCUUGGCUCUGGCAUCGAUGAAGAACGCAGCGAAAUGCGAUAAGUAAUGUGAAUUGCAGAAUUCAGUGAAUCAUCGAAUCUUUGAACGCACAUUGCGCCCGCCAGUAUUCUGGCGGGCAUGCCUGUUCGAGCGUCAUUACAACCCUCAGGCCCCCGGGCCUGGCGUUGGGGAUCGGCGAGGCGCCCCCCGCGGGCACGCGCCGUCCCCCAAAUACAGUGGCGGUCCCGCCGCAGCUUCCAUUGCGUAGUAGCUAACACCUCGCAACUGGAGAGCGGCGCGGCCAUGCCGUAAAACACCCAACUUCUGAAUGUUGACCUCGAAUCAGGUAGGAAUACCCGCUGAACUUAAGCAU